AUAAAGUUUUAUUUUAGCUUUUAGGUUAGAUAUUUUAAUUUAUUAUAUGUAUUUUUUAGUAAAAUAUUAUUUAAAAAAUAAUAUUAAAUAUAGAGCAGUAAUUCGUUUUAUUUUUUUAAGGUAAUUUAGAGAUAGUAAUUAAAUUUAAUAUUAACAAAAUUUGUGCCAGCAGUUGCGGUUAUACAAAUAAUAUAAUUUAAUUUUUUUAGUUUUAAUUAAUUUGAAUUUAUUUAGUUUGUGAGAAGGAUUUAUUAAGUGAAAUUUUAAAUUUUAUAAGGAAUUAUUUUAGUUAAAUGAAGUUAGAAAAUUUUUUUAUAAACUAGGAUUAGAUACCCUAUUAUUAAAAAUGUAAAAUUUAGCUAAUUUAUUAGUAGUUAAGGUCUUUAAAAUUAAAAAAUUUGGCGGUAUUUUAGUCUAUUUAGAGGAACCUGUUCUAUAAUUGAUAGUCCACGAUUUAUUAAACUUAGUUUUUUAAUUUGCAUAUCGUCGUAGUUUGAAUAUUUUUACAGAAUUAAAAUUUUCAUAAUUUUUUUUAGAAAAGAAAUCAGAUCAAGGUGUAGUUUAUAAAUAAGAAGAAAUGGGUUACAUUAAAAUUAUUUUGGAAAAUUUUUUGAAAAAGGGUUUAAAAUUGGAUUUAAAAGUAAUUUGAAUUAAUUUAUUUAGAUGAUUUAGCUCUAAAAUAUGUACAUAUCGCCCGUCGCUUUCAUUUUAAGAUGAAAUAAGUCGUAACAAAGUAGAUGUACUGGAAAGUGUAUCUAGAAACAG
rnacentral:ncRNA from 1 species